rnacentral:rRNA from 1 species
GACGAACGCUGGCGGCGUGCUUAACACAUGCAAGUCGAACGGAAAGGCCCUGCUUUUGUGGGGUGCUCGAGUGGCGAACGGGUGAGUAACACGUGAGUAACCUGCCCUUGACUUUGUGAUAACUUCAGGAAACUGGGGCUAAUACCGGAUAGGAGCUCCUGCUGCAUGGUGGGGGUUGGAAAAUUUCGGCGGUGGUGGAUGGACUCGCGGCUUAUCAGCUGGUUGGUGGGGUAGUGGCUUACCAAGGCUUUGACGGGUAGCCGGCCUGAGAGGGUGACCGGCGACAUUGGGACUGAGAUACGGACCAGAAUCCUACGGGAGGCAGCAGUGGGGAAUAUUGCAGAAUGGGCGGAAGCCUGAUGCAGCAACGUCGCGUGCGGGAUGACGGCUUUCGGGUUGUAAACCGCUUUCGCAUGUGACGAAGCGUGAGUGACGGUAAUGGGUAAAGAAGCACCGGCUAACUACGUG